rnacentral:rRNA from 1 species
AGUGAACGCUGGCGGUAGGCCUAACACAUGCAAGUCGAACGGCAGCACAGUAAGAGCUUGCUCUUACGGGUGGCGAGUGGCGGACGGGUGAGGAAUACAUCGGAAUCUACUUUUUCGUGGGGAAUAACGUAGGGAAACUUACGCUAAUACCGCAUACGACCUACGGGUGAAAGCAGGGGAUCUUCGGACCUUGCGCGAUUGAAUGAGCCGAUGUCGGAUUAGCUAGUUGGCGGGGUAAAGGCCCACCGAGGCGACGAUCCGUAGCUGGUCUGAGAGGAUGAUCAGCCACACUGGAACUGAGACACGGUCCAGACUCCUACGGGAGGCAGCAGUGGGGAAUAUUGGACAAUGGGCGCAAGCCUGAUCCAGCCAUACCGCGUGGGUGAAGAAGGCCUUCGGGUUGUAAAGCCCUUUUGUUGGGAAAGAAAAGCAGCAGGUUAAUACCCCGCUGUUCUGACGGUACCCAAAGAAUAAGCACCGGCUAACUUCGUG